CCAGGACUUGAGACCUGCCCUCAGAAUUCCUGAGGCUGAUUCUGGCACGCAUCUUCCAAAUCCCAGCACGCUCCUGGGACUUAACCUCUCUGCACAUAGAUGCUACCUUCCCCCCAAGUCCCCCCUCCCCUCAGUCCUAACCCCUGGGCUGCAUCCUAGCACCUCUCAAACCUCCAAGACUUGACCCAGCCCUUGAACUCACGUUAGGCCUUUGGGAUGCUCCAACUUUUGCCGCACUCUGAACACUUCCUGGACACCCCUAAACCUGACAUCAGACAUUCAGCUCAGGUUCCCCUGACUCUAGAAUUUUCAAGAUAGGCUCAACCUGUCUGCAAUUCCAGGGAACCAGAUCUUUCCGGGGCACCCCCCUUCUUAUGGAUAACUCUGUCCCCUCCAAGAGCCCCUUUCUUUAAAUGGUGUCCCAAAGGCACCCUCAUAGACGCCAAUGUUUCCCAGAGGGUCAUAUUUGCACCCCUGGCGAUGUGCUGAGGUUUUAAGCGGUACAAGGACAAACACUUUGUCUUUCCUGGCAUUUUGCAUAUAAGCCUGUAAGUCCAGAUACUGCUGCUUGGCCCGGACACCGUUUAUUUAGGUUAGAGGUGUUUACAUUUAAAAUGUAGAGGCUGUUCCCGAGUGGAGGAACGCUGGAAUAUCAGAAGCUUGGGAAACAAUGACAUAUCCACCCGGGCUGGGAUUCCAGCUAGCCCCUCCCCCGCGUUCCUCAACCCCCGACGCUCGCGGGUGGAAAAUCAUUUCUCACAUCCCAUCCUGGCUCAAGGAUGCGCUACCUCCCCCAAGCCCAGAGACCACACCGGUCCCAGAGUCCUUAGGGGACUCCCCUUUUUGGAGUUGGGGGCCCACGGAAUUAGCAACCUCCCUCCCUCUGCUCCCACCGGCCUCAGGAACACCCCCCACCCGCGGGUUGGGGGGACAUCACUGAGCACGAUUCUAGAUGCAACGAUUCCUAUGCAAGGGGCAUUUUGAGUCCCCCCAUUCUGCCCUCGGACCCUGAACCCUGGC
ensembl:lncRNA